UCCAGCAUUUGGGCUCUUUCUCUCAGAGAGGCUUUUUAGUUUGCUGCUUACUGUUCCGCCAUCUUCCCAGGUUAUCAGUCCAGCAGGUUCUUGUCAUUCUGACACAGGACACCCCAGACCCCUGUCUCUAUCACCUUACAGGAACUUCAGCACUUUCUACUCCACCGAAGCCUCAAACCUCAGUGCUAGAGACACUAAAAGGCAAACUCUUUGGAGCCAGGAAAUGCUGCCCUUGCUGCUGGACUGGAGGGUCCACAGGGCAGAGAGGAUCUGGGGCUCCCUCCUCACUCAUCACUUUGUCCCGAGGGUCCAGUAGAAAAUGGAAGAAACAUAACCAUGGCUGUGGCUGCCCUGCCCAGAGCCUUUGAAAAGUAAGUAACAGAAACCAUGGUGCUAGACCACAGGACAGGCUGGGAUGGAGAGCUUCACCACCACAGAGGACUACAGCCUGACCACCGAAUACAACUAUGUGGACUCAACUCCAUGCCAGGAGGUGGCCGUGAAGAAAGAAACAAGCACUGAAGCCAUCAAAGUCUCACCCCCAACACCCACUGUGUAUUUGGACAUGUUUUCAUUCCAUUGUUCCUUCUGAUGGGACUGGAACCCAGCGGCCCUUGGUGCUGCUCAUGGCUCUGCUGCUGUGUUUAAGAGCAGGAUGUUGCCUUCGCUUUCCCAGUGAAUAAAUCAUUUCAAAAUCA